rnacentral:lncRNA from 1 species
GUCAGGGAGGGCAGGGGGUGACAGUCCCCCAGGGGCUUGCCCACAUCGUGUAGGUGCUUAACUGAGUCAACAUUUUACAAAACAUUUACAGUGUGCCCACCAGAUGCUAAGGGAUUACAAAGAACGAAAGGAGGUUACAACUUAGCUAGACAGAAGAAAGGAAGAGUAUACAACACAGCGCAGUCUAGGAACUGGCAGUGCUUCUGUGAAAAAACUCAGAAAUUCUGGCCUGGGAAGACUGCUUGCCUAAGGACCCCUUCCACAAUUACAACCAAAUAUUACUCAAUAUCAACCUUUGGGAUACGUAAGAAGAGGGGAUUUUCUGAUUCAAUAUUUCUGUUUGGGAAUUUAAACAGACACAUAAUGCAAUGGCUAGAUCUGAAGUGAACAGAGCUGAAGAAGGGUGGUGUAGUAGUUCCUGUUCCUUUCCUGCCUCACUUCCUGGCCUCAAGUGAUCUACCUGCCUG